UAAGGGCUGGUUUAGCCUGGUUCCAUGACUAAUGGGGUAGGGGGACCCACGGACCCAUGCCCCAGGAAAAAGGAAUGGAGAAAAAGUAGUGAAAUGGGCCUAAAAACAAGACAGUGUCAACAAUCUGAGGAGAAAGGUAAUUUACUGAAGAAAGAUAUUGGAAUGCAAGAUAACACAAUAUAAUGCAAUAUAAUUGGAGUUGAAGCUAAUAAAUAAAAUGAGAGAGUGUGUCCAAAAAUCGAAGGCCUUACUCUAGUGCUGAAGGCAAGAUGUCUAGCUGGGACAAACAGAAAGGCGAAAGUGAGGGACAUCUUGUGAUAUGCAAACAGUUUUAUCUCUCCCUCCGAAUGGAAAAUGGAAACAGAACAACGCAAAAUCCUCUGGGGACUUCAAUUGCUUAAAGGCAGUUGGUGCUGAUUUCCUUAUCUGCUCUGAAGGAAAAAAAAGGUGUUGUCAGAAAGAUCAAAAAGAGCACAAUAAUGCUAUUUGAUAGUGCAAAUUCUCAGCUACAAAACACUGUUUUUUCAACAUAGUCACCUUCAUUAGCUAUGCAUUUUUGUCAGCGAUGAACAAGAGCCUGCAUGCUAUGCUCAUGAAAAUCUGCACCGGUGGAGGUGACCACUGCUACCAGUGCUAAAGUGCACCACCCUCCAUCUCGUUGUUUGGUCUCCGUAAAUGUUCAGCAGUUGCUGACGAAUGUCAGUGGGUGCCAUUGUUUCCACAUGGAGAAAUUCAGUGCCACACCUACGCUUCAAGCAUGCUUUUAUAUCAGACUGCCCCUCUGCUGCCACCUGUCACAUGGCAACAAAUGUAAAGAAUAUUGGUGGGAAGGUUCAACUUCUACUGCCAUACCACCAACAGCUGCUUCUGAUGUGGGCCAACAUAAUAAGAGGCAUUACUUUUGGAGCAGCCCUCAUAAAAUACCUCUGAAGAAAUCUGGCCUCAGGCUGAAAAAAGUCCCAUAGGUUAUGGUUAUUUCCACUCUAAAAUAAAUAGUGAUGGUUUCAUAACAAGGUGUAGAUGUAAAAAGCAUUAUUGAUCACCGCUGGAAUAUGUUUAGCCGUAACACCGUGCAUCUAACUGUAAAUUCCCUAACUGGACAUUUAUACAUCAGAGAAGUCAGGUAUAAACACGAUAUAUUGAACUGCAAUUAUGUUACAAAAUAGAAUCACUAAUCAGGUACAUUCCCUUAGAAAACUGAGAUUAGGGACAGGAAAUAUCUCCCAUGUCUUUAUAUAAAAAUAAUUAGUUUUUCUCUAAUGGCUUGUUAACCGAAGCAUUUAAGGCCUGUAGUUUUAUAGGUAUUGUUUAACUGGUAUAAUUUCAUCUUUUAGAAAGGCCUAUUUUCAUAUGUUUAGAUACUAUGAAGAAAAGGAUUGUCUGUAGUAGGGUCAGACAUUUUUAUGCCAGUACAAUUCCAUUUUCCCUGUUACAACUUUCCUAACCCUCCAAACUUCAUAGCUAAGUAGAAUAAUUAUAGUUGCACAAACAACUGUCCAAAGCUUAAUGAACUACAUAACCACUCUUCACCAGUUUCAGCAAUAAAGGUAUGUUUAAACAUCUUUCUUAGUAUAUGAUUUGUUUAUUUGUAUUUUCAGG
ensembl:lncRNA